rnacentral:misc_RNA from 1 species
GAUGAAGAACGCAGCGAAAUGCGAUAAGUAAUGUGAAUUGCAGAAUUCAGUGAAUCAUCGAAUCUUUGAACGCACAUUGCGCCCGCUAGUACUCUAGCGGGCAUGCCUGUUCGAGCGUCAUUUCAACCCUCAAGCCCUGCUUGGUGUUGGGGCCCUACGGCUGCCGUAGGCCCUGAAAGGAAGUGGCGGGCUCGCUACAACUCCGAGCGUAGUAAUUCAUUAUCUCGCUUAGGGUGUUGUGCGGUGCUCCUGCCGUUAAAGACCAUCUUUAACUCAAGGUUGACCUCGGAUCAGGUAGGAAUACCCGCUGAACUUAAGCAUAUCAAUAAGCGGAGGA